GCGGCUGUGGCGGAAUUGGUAGACGCGCUGGAUUUAGGUUCCAGUGGCCUGCGCCGUGGGGGUUCGAGUCCCUCCAGCCGCACCA
rnacentral:tRNA from 1 species